CAGCACCUCAAGUGGUCAGGAUGAUUAUUGGGCCUAAAGCAUCCGUAGCCUGCUUUGUCAGUUUUCGGUUAAAUCCAUACGCUCAACGUAUGGGCUGCCGGGAAUACUGCAAAGCUAGGGAGUGGGAGAGGUAGACGGUACUCGGUAGGAAGGGGUAAAAUCCUUUGAUCUAUUGGUGACCACCUGUGGCGAAGGCGGUCUACCAGAACACGUCCGACGGUGAGGGAUGAAAGCUGGGGGAGCAAAUCGGAUUAGAUACCCGAGUAGUCC
rnacentral:rRNA from 1 species